ACGGAGGAUCCGAGCGUUAUCCGGAUUUAUUGGGUUUAAAGGGAGCGUAGGUGGACAUGUAAGUCAGUUGUGAAAGUUUGCGGCUCAACCGUAAAAUUGCAGUUGAUACUGUGUGUCUUGAGUACAGUAGAGGUGGGCGGAAUUCGUGGUGUAGCGGUGAAAUGCUUAGAUAUCACGAAGAACUCCGAUUGCGAAGGCAGCUCACUGGACUGUUACUGACACUGAGGCUCGAAAGUGUGGGUAUCAAACAG
rnacentral:rRNA from 1 species